rnacentral:rRNA from 1 species
GACAGAGGGUGCAAACGUUGUUCGGAAUUACUGGGCGUAAAGCGAGUGUAGGCGGUCUGCUAAGUCGGGUGUGAAAGCCCUGGGCUCAACCCAGGAAGUGCACUCGAAACUGGCAGGCUAGAGUACUGGAGAGGUUGGUGGAAUUCUCGGUGUAGAGGUGAAAUUCGUAGAUAUCGAGAGGAACACCGGUGGCGAAGGCGGUUCUCUGGGCCUGUACUGACGCUGAGGAGCGAAAGCGUGGGGAGCGAACAGG